GCCUGGGUGGCUCAGUCAGUUGAGCGUCUGACUUCAGCUCAGGUCAUGAUCUCACAGUUCGUGGGUUCGAGCCCCACAUCGGGCU
rnacentral:tRNA from 1 species